rnacentral:rRNA from 1 species
UGGGGAAUAUUGCACAAUGGGCGCAAGCCUGAUGCAGCCAUGCCGCGUGUAUGAAGAAGGCCUUCGGGUUGUAAAGUACUUUCAGUCGGGAGGAAGGUGGUAAGGUUAAUAACCUUAUCAAUUGACGUUACCGACAGAAGAAGCACCGGCUAACACCGUGCCAGCAGCCGCGGUAAUACGGAGGGUGCAAGCGUUAAUCGGAAUUACUGGGCGUAAAGCGCACGCAGGCGGUUGAUUGAGUCAGAUGUGAAAUCCCCGGGCUUAACCCGGGAAUUGCAUCUGAUACUGGUCAGCUAGAGUCUUGUAGAGGGGAGUAGAAUUCCAUGUGUAGCGGUGAAAUGCGUAGAGAUGUGGAGGAAUACCGGUGGCGAAGGCGGCCCCCUGGACAAAGACUGACGCUCAGGUGCGAAAGCGUGGGGAGCAAACAGG